GUGCACAUUGCCCUCAUUCGCUAGGCUCCCACGGAUGGGAAGUGGAUCGGCCAAUCGGGAGCCGCACGGCUGCGCGUGGACACAGCAUGCAUGGAGCUCGAUUCAGUUAGUGGGCGGGGCUUCGUAUCCGCUCGUGCAGUUUUUUCGUGACGAGAAGGGAGGCGGUUGGCGCGGUGACACAACGACAUUAACUGAGGCGCUCAGGUGUUUACCGCUGUCCGUGGCGUAGAAACCGAGGAAAAGGAAGUAUUCGUUGACAAGAGAACUUGGCUCACCUAGGUGCAAGAGCUUGCAAUCUCAGGAACAAUAAAAGAAUAAUGGCGGGAUCGCCAGGAUGGAUCAUGGCGGAAUUUGCAAAAUGCAUAGAUCUGAAUUGGAAUGCCGGCUCGGCAGGUUAAGGCUCG